AUGACACCGUUAGCCAGCAGUGUGUCUCCUGAAAAGAGAGCUGAUUAGAGAGGCAGUUUUGAAUUUAGGAGUGGCAAGAUGGCAGCGGCAAACCCUGGCGGUUCUCCGGGUUCGUGGCAACCACGGAUGGGGAAAAUGUGGAGGUUGCACGGCUGAUGUUUACUGUUCAUGGCACAGGAAGAGGCAGUUUUAUUUCAGGAAUGAGUGAGCACAAUCAAAGAAUAGAGCGACUGUGGAGAGACCUCUGGGUGGCCAUUACAUGCAUUUACUACGAUGUUCUUCACAACCUUGAGGAAGAAGGCCUUCUUGACAUUUCAAAUGCUGCACACCUCUUUUGCUGCCAUUACGUCUUUCUUCCUCGACUGGAGGAUGAUUUUAAUACAUUUUGCAGUGGAUGGGACAACCAUCCACUGCGAACAGAAACAACAUGAGUCCCAACCAGCUGUGGGAGUUGGGUCACAGAUAUCACCCUGUUCCUGUUCCAGAAAACACACAGCUUAUCACACAUUUGAUUUCCAUGU